UGCCCUGGCAACAGGCAGAGAGACCCCUUGUUGGUGGUAUUGUUCUUGUAUCAGUCAGGGGCAAAGCAGAUAGCAGUCCUUUUUUCAUCCUAGCUUGAUGCCUGGCUUAAUUGCCAAAGCUCUUUUAUGCCUAGGACUCACCA